rnacentral:lncRNA from 1 species
GAAUAAUAUAAUUAGGUUUUACUCUUUGUUCGAUAGAAUGCAAAAAAGUACAAAUUGCAAAGUUAUACUGUUAGGGCGCAACUUAGUAGCCUAAUAUUGUUCCGAUUUUGGUCAUUGUGAACGUUGACAUCGAUUCGUUCGAAAUUACAACUCUCAGGGCAUAAUAGAACAAUAUAAUUAGCUUUUAACUAUUUGUUCGGUAGAAUGAGAAAAAGUACUCGUUACAAAGUUAUACUGUUAGGGCGCAACUGAGUAGUCUAAUAUUUUUCCGGUUUUGGUUCUUGUGAACGUUGACAUCGAUUCGUUCCAAAUUUACUCUCUAGGAGCAUAAUAGAACAAUAUAAUUAGGUUUUACUCUUUGUUCGAUAGAAUGAGAAAAAGUACACAUUGCAAAGUUAUACUGUUAGGGCACAAUUGAGUAGCCUAAUAUUGUUCAGGUUUUGGUUAUUGUGAACGUUGACAUCGAUUCGUUCGAAAUUACAACUCUCGGAGGGUAAUAGAACAAUAUAAUUAGCUUUAAACUCUUUGUUCGAUAGAAGAAGAAAAAGUACUUGUUGCAAAGUUAUACUGUAGGGCGCAACUGAGUAGUCUAAUGUUGUUCCGGUUUUGGUUCUUGUGAGCGUUUACAUCGAUUCGUUUCAAAUUUAAUCUCUCGCGGCUUAAUAGAAC